UCUCCAUGUAGGAGGGAGUAUGGUGUUUC
rnacentral:piRNA from 1 species